UGGGGUCUUGGCUCAGUGGUAGAGCACUCACCUAGCACAUGUGAGGCCCUGGGUUCAAGCCUCAGCACCACAU
rnacentral:tRNA from 1 species